GAUUGUGUUGAGGUGUUUGGGUGUGGGGGAACAAUGUCCAACAAGAAUGAGAAUCAUCAGACGGCUCGCUCUCGGUGCUGCUGAAGCGUAAAUUGGCCAAUGAUAAGAUUGAGAUACCUGAGAUUGUGCACGGUCGGGCGAGUCAGAGCAAGAAGGGGGAGGAUUGAGUUGUGGGAGAUGGAGUUUCUAAGUUUUCAAAUUUUGGGGUGGGAAGAGGCCACUCUUGUGAGAAAGGAGAUGAAAUAUGUCGGGACAUAUGUAGCAAAUUUAUGAUGCUUAAUCACUUAGCAUAAGUUCUAUUUCAUCUUUCCAAUCAAGUUUUUGGCAGCAACCAUUGAUUCAGGAGUAGCUUUCUCUUUGUCAAAUUCUUCCACUACCCAGGAUUGGUAGAGCUGUACUAUAAUGGCAUCCAUGGUGUGGACAUUGAAGGUCCAGCAGAAGUUCGCAUCGAAUGGGCAACAUUUAUGAGCCAUAUGUAGUUCCUUUAUUUAUAAGUAUAGGUUAAUGCUAUGGAUAUGGUAUUUUGUAUGGACACAGUAGGAAUCAAGAUUGGUAAACUAUGUAAUUACUGUUGAAUAUUCAAAU